rnacentral:rRNA from 1 species
GACAGAGGGGGCAAGCGUUGUUCGGAAUUACUGGGCGUAAAGGGUCUGUAGGUGGCCAACUAAGUCAUACGUGAAAUCCCUCAGCUUAACUGGGGAACUGCGUCUGAUACUGGUUGGCUUGAGUGCAGGAGAGGAACGCGGAAUUCCAGGUGUAGCGGUGAAAUGCGUAGAUAUCUGGAGGAACACCGGUGGCGAAGGCGGCGUUCUGGACUGCAACUGACACUGAAAGACGAAAGCCAGGGGAGCAAACGGG